rnacentral:rRNA from 1 species
UUAGAUACCCUAUUAUUAAAAAUGUAAAUUAUAAAGCUAAGUGAAUAAUAGUUAAGUUCUUUAAAGCUAAAUGAUUUGGCGGUAUUUUAAACUUUUCAGAGGAACCUGUUCUAUAAAUGAUAAUCCACGAUUAAAGUUACUUUGAUUAGAAAUUUUUAUAUCGUUGUUGUUAAAUAUUUUAUAAGAAAUAAAUAUUUAAGAUUUCUUAAUAAAGAAAAAAAUCAAAUCAAGGUGAAGUUUAUAUUGAAGAAGAAAUGGGUUACAAUAAAUUAUAUUUAUGGAUUAAAAUUUGUAAAGUUUUAUGAAAUUGGAUUUGAAAGUAAUUAAUUAAAA